rnacentral:lncRNA from 1 species
GAAAGAAAGAGGCAAUUAUUCAAAGAACAUGAUACAGACUAUGACAGAAGCAAAAGUGGGCUGUGGCUAUUUGAAAAUCAGAGCAUCUUUUAAAAGGGAGACGGCAUCUGAACCUUGCCGAGUAGGAAUGUUCCAGAAGUAAGAGAGAUGACUAGGGUUUCAAGAACAAGGACCAGCACCUAUGAAGGCUCUGAGGCACAGACCACUGUGACCUGUGGAGAAGUGAGAUAUUGCCCAUUCGUCCAACUGCCGCUGUCCUGCCAGUAUAUCGUCUGAGAUUACCAUCAGCUAAAUAUUGCAUUGUCUUUGGACAAUUUUCCUACAUUGUGACUCCUCACUACAUUUUCAAUGCUUUUCUAGUCCCAGACAAGCUACAGACUGUUAAUUUACACUUGCUUUUGCCUUGCCUGAGGAAAUUGAAAAUAAAUUUUAAUUUCCUAGUCAAGGGCUACGGGUGCUUUGUGUGGUUUGGAGGAAAAAAAAAUACUGUUAGAUGGAAUUAGGGAAUAUUAGGAGAGUUUCUGAAGUUAGUGAAGGUACACAGUAAUUGAUCACUUGCCCUCAUAGUGAGAGGUCAUUCCAAUGAGCAGAGGUUCUGUCAAUAUCUGAGAUCUGUUUGAUACCUGGCCUCAAUCUGUCGAUCACGCCCAGUAACCAUAUUCAUAGGCUUCAGAUCUGAAUUUUGAAUUGCAUCAGAAGCUUUCCUCUGGCCUCAGAGAUGCCAUUGAGACCAUUCUCAUAGUUAGUCACCACUCACACUACACAAAAUGGAAGAAAAAAACUUCCUUUGGGGCAAAUCAACAAUCUCUGGUAGGAAAAUAAACAAGGAUGCUUUCAGAAUACCAGAAGCCCAAGUCUGAGCAUCUGGAGGCAAAGGAAGAGUAGAGAAGUCUUUGUUGGUGGGACCACUGCCUGUAGGAAUUUAAGGGAACUUGGAUCUUAGGAGUUGCUCAGUUAAGUCCUAGAGAGAGCCUAAGUGGGACUGAUGAGAAGCAGAACAAAUUGCUAUUUCUGAGAAGAAAAACCAACACUUUUGGAUGUUAACUUUUGGAUGUUUGAAUUUUUUGUUUUAGUUUUUAUUCCUUUUGGGAAAAGCUAUUUUUAUCGCAAAAAAAUAUGUAAAGCUAGCAACAAAAUAGUUGAAAGUAUUUAUUGUGUACCUACUGUGUGAUAAUAGCAGCUGGGUUUCAAACACAAGUGAAUAUGAAAUAAAUGAGCCCUAGAUGCACAAAAA